rnacentral:rRNA from 1 species
UACGUAGGGUGCAAGCGUUGUCCGGAAUCAUUGGGCGUAAAGCGCGCGUAGGUGGCCUCGUAAGUCCGUUGUGAAAGUCAAAGGCUCAACCUUUGAAUGCCGAUGGAUACUGCGAAGCUAGAGUACGGAAGAGGCGAGUGGAAUUCCUGGUGUAGCGGUGGAAUGCGCAGAUAUCAGGAGGAACACCAAUAGCGAAGGCAGCUCGCUGGGACGUUACUGACACUAAGGCGCGAAAGCGUGGGGAGCGAACAGG